rnacentral:rRNA from 1 species
GAUGAACGCUGGCGGCGUGCUUAACACAUGCAAGUCGAGCGAAAAUAAUUGAGAGCUUGCUUUUGAUUAUUUUAGCGGCGGACGGGUGAGUAACGUGUGGGUAACCUGCCUUUUACUGGGGAAUAAUCGUUGGAAACGACGACUAAUACCGCAUACGGUUCUUGGGAGGCAUCUUCUGAGAAAGAAAGGAAUUAUUCGGUAAAAGAUGGGCCCGCAUCUGAUUAGCUAGUUGGUGAGAUAAUAGCCCACCAAGGCAACGAUCAGUAGCCGACCUGAGAGGGUGACCGGCCACAUUGGGACUGAGACACGGCCCAAACUCCUACGGGAGGCUG